GGCUGCGACGCCCGCGGUGGGCCAGAGGCGAGGCAUCGGUGGCGUGUAGCGGGGCUUGGUCUGGGCAGCGGCGGGCAGAAGCACCUGGCUCAGAGUCGGCGGCUCCGGGGCGGGGGCGCCAGCGGCGAAGCCCCCUCCCCGGGGAGGCGGGGCCGGGCCGGCGCCCGGGCAUCAUGCAUCAGAAGCUGCUGAAGAGCGCGCACUACAUCGAGCUGGGCAGCUACCAGUACUGGCCGGUCCUGGUGCCCCGCGGCAUCCGCCUGUACACCUAUGAACAGAUCCCGGUGUCCCUCAAAGAUAACCCCUACAUCACCGACGGCUACCGGGCCUACCUGCCUUCCAGGCUGUGUAUCAAAAGCUUGUUUAUUUUAUCCAAUGAGACGGUAAACAUCUGGAGUCAUUUGCUGGGUUUCUUUCUCUUCUUCACCCUGGGAAUAUAUGACAUGACAUCCGUGCUGCCUUCAGCAAGUGCAUCCAGAGAAGAUUUUGUCAUCUGCUCCAUCUGUCUUUUCUGCUUCCAGGUUUGUAUGCUCUGCUCAGUGGGUUAUCAUCUCUUCUCCUGUCAUCGGUCAGAAAAGACGUGUCGAAGAUGGAUGGCAUUGGAUUAUGCAGGGAUUUCUAUUGGAAUACUGGGCUGCUAUGUCUCAGGAGUAUUUUAUGCAUUUUACUGUAAUAAUUACUGGCGUCAAGUGUACUUGAUCACCGUGCUUGCCAUGAUCCUGGCGGUGUUCUUCGCACAGAUCCAUCCCAAUUACCUCACACAACAGUGGCAGCGGCUCCGCCCCAUCAUCUUCUGUUCUGUUUCGGGGUACGGCGUGAUCCCUACUCUUCACUGGGUCUGGCUCAAUGGAGGAAUCAGUGCUCCUAUUGUCCAGGACUUCGCACCCCGAGUGAUAGUGAUGUACGUGAUUGCUCUUCUGGCUUUCCUCUUCUAUAUUUCCAAAGUUCCAGAACGCUACUUUCCAGGACAGCUAAACUACCUCGGUUCAAGCCACCAGAUCUGGCAUAUCCUUGCAGUCGUGAUGUUAUACUGGUGGCAUCAGUCAACAGUGUAUGUCAUGCAGUACAGACACAGCAAGCCUUGCCCUGACUAUGUUCCUCACCUGUAAGUGCAGGAGAGAAAUAACAGUAGGGCCCUCUUGAGGAGAGUGAACUUCUGUACCCUUGCACAGCUUAUGUGAACAGCCACCAAGGCCCUCAUCCUGCUCUACUAAUGUGGCAUCAAACUGCUGCCAGCGUGCAGGAGUUAUUGCCAAGUCUACCUGGAGCAUCUACUGUUUAGAGGGGAACGGAGCAGCACCAAAUGGGUCUAAUUCAACUGGCUGGGGCUGUUGGGACUCAUGUGGAGCCAGGCUUUGCACCACGAGUUCUGUGAAGGGCACGGCACCGAAGUCAUCCAUUCUCAACGUGUCUGCACUAUGGAAUGACCCAUGUACUGAAUUCUGCCUUGGCCUCCCAGGCAGGAUAGCACUGUGAUCAACACGGAUGUCGCUUAGGCCCUGAUGGGACUGGUGCCACGACAAGUCUGGAGGAUGGAAGGGCUUGGCACCGAAGGGGUCCAGCAGGCUCUCCUCGGGCUGCAGGACACUGCCCCUGUCUUUGCCAUCGGUCAAGGCAACGCUGAUGUUCUCCUUGGAGUCUGAAAUGGUUAAGAACUCACUGCUGCUUUGUGAGUCUCUGCGGCCCACCUUUUUGUGUCUGCGAGCCCUCUCAGGGGUGCGGUAGGGGGGCUUCAGUGUCUUCUUGGUGCUGGUGGGUGUGCCGUGGUGGCGCUUCCCGUUGCUUUUGGACAUGUCCUGCUUUGUGCGUCUCUGGCGAGAGGAGAGUUUCUGCAGGCUGCGCUGUUUGGCUUUUUGCUGCGGACUCCCGGUUAUUUCUUCAAAGGGCACGAGCCCAAAAACAUCCUCCCUGCUUUCCCUUCUGCUCGCUGAUGUGGGAAAUGGCUGAAAGGGAGUGGAGCCAAAUAUAUCUACGCUCCUGGGCCGUGCGGGCAGAGGGCGUGGGUCGGAGCCCACUGCGGGCCAGUCCUGGACCUUCUUGUUGAAGGGUGCCUUUGUGAACACAUCAAAGUCCUCCUGCUCCAGAAGUGUUUGCCUGGAGAGGUUCUUCCCAUUCCCUCUGUGCUGCGGCUGUGGAGCGCGCACUGCAAAGAAGGGGACGGCACCGAACACAUCGAACUCCUGACCAGGAGUCGGGGCAUCAGUUGGAGAAUGGGCAGGGGAGAGGAGUGGAGGGUCACGGGCUGGGCUCCGCCCACCACCAAGCUUGUCUCUGUGCGGGGAGCUCAGGUCUCCACACUUGGCUUUAGCCUGUUCACACUCAGAGUCAGAGCUGUGCUUGUCUUCCUCUUCCUCGUCUUCAGAGUCCAUGAGCAGAGGCCUGUGACCCAAGGUCUCCGGCUCGGUGUCCUCAUCAUUAAAGUCCCCGUGUUCUCCCUGAGCGUCUUCGUCCUCUUGUUCUUCUUCGCUGCUCCUAGGAGAAGGGGGGUCUGAUUCAAAGUCGCUCUCGGAAUCGUCAUUCCCCUUCUGCACCUGACCCCGGACUGCUGGAUUCUCCGACGUUUUCUUUACCGCCCGCUGAUCUUUACAUAUUGGGCUUGUGCUUCCAUUUUUGGUAGGAUUUGCAGUGAUAUUUUUUUGAGUUGGAGAGUGUUCUGUUUUCUUUUCAGGAGAACCUAAAGGUUCAAAGAAAAAAUCAUUACAGUAUACAAGUAUUUCAGUACGGACUUGUACUACACACAUGGCAUUCCAUGUCCUCAGCACUUCCCCUCCUGGAAUGACCUUGUCCUGGGCAGGUGAUGAGGUCCUGUAACAUAGUGUAGUCUACUCAUCUCCGGAGGCUCAGCAUAGCCCCUCACUACAAAGCAACCCCAGUCCCAGCACCUGUCCUAGAGCAGGACCUCAACAGGACAAGGAUACUGAUGGUCUUCUCCACUACCAAAAUCAGACUCUCCACCCUCCAAAGGAUUUUCCUUUCUCUUUAUAGUAUCUGCUGCCUACUUGUCAGGACGUGUUUUGUUUUCAUCUGCACUCUGCUUUCUAAAAGUCAGUGUUUAAAGUCAGUACUGAUGUAGCUCACACAGACUGCUCAAAGCUGAGAACCAGCUCGACACAGACACUGUCAAGGACACUUUUAAUGAGACUGCACCAAAGAGGUGUGCCUUCUACAGCAGGCAAUCUUUAACGAAUAAGAACCUUAGUUUACCUAAAAGUACACUCGCUACCUUCCUAACGGCCUACUGAACUGGAUGUUCCCAGAGGUAAGAAUCAAAUCUGUAUUGAUCCAAUUACACAUACUUAUCUCUUCCUCUCCUUAUGACUGAGGUAUUUUUCCAAUUACUGUGGACUGGAAGUACAAUACGCAGUAAUGAAAACUAAUUAGCAUACAGCAGAGGAACUAUUAAUUUCCAUCAUGCAGAGUGGUCUCUGGAACAUUUCCUUCUCCAAAAUCCACACUGUCACAUUCCUACAACUCUGUAGACCAUUUUCUUCCACUAACAACUUCAGCAUUUAAAUACGUACAUUCCCCAAAGUUCUCUCCUUGGCUGUUUCUCCCUCCGUAUUCUCUCAAGUUCUAAACUGUACAGUGUCUGCCAUGUUCUGGCUGACACUGGUCUUUUUAACUGGUAUCUGAAUCCUAAAUUCUAGUCUAACAUCUUUAACAUUAAUCUCCUGAGACUAUGCAUCCUACCAGUACUUGAAAGGCAGGAAUUGAUACCACUCCCCUUUUAGGAUAUAGUCACCACCAGUUCCUCCAAAUUAAGUGCACCUCCAUCUACGCGAGUCCUCCAGCCAGCAGACAUCAAGACCGUCUCCAUACCAGUUAUUGUAGCUUUGGUGUCUUCAAUCUAUGCCGUUCUCUCUGAUUCGUUCCCUUAUUACACCUCCCAGAGUGACUCCCCCACCCCGUGUGCUUCCCCUCCAGCACAGCCCCCAGUGUGCACCUUCACCUUCUCACCAUUAUGUGGCUAGCACCCAUCAGGAGUCUCUAGUGGCUCUGAAACAUUCACGCUGUGUAUGGCGUUCGGUCCUGCCAUGUCUUCAGCUACAAACUCCAAUGUCGUCUAUAAUACUAUCUGUUAUACCCACAGCUGGACUCUUCCUAUGAAAGCUCAGGAACUGAGCAACUACCCAGCUUCUUAAAACUUGCCAUCAGACUAAGGGACACAGCAGACUGAGGGAAGUCAAGGGUGUUUUGCUGUCUCAAUAUCUCUGCUGCUUUGUAAUACUGCACCUCAGUAUGAAAGCCUUUCCACCUCCCCUAAUCCACCCAAUGGACUCGUGAACAUGGCUGCACUAAAAGCCCUUCAAAACUACCCCUAAAAGAUGCCCUCCACACUUGGUGCUCGUGAUGAACUUGUACACCCUUAAUUACCUCUAAUAUAGUUGGACAAUCAUUGCUAUUUACCACGUCUCACUAAUCUCUGUAUCCUAGCACUGUGCACAACUGUUACUAAAAUGACUGCUCUGAGGUCAACAACUCUUAUCUAUAUAAAGGGAUAUGAUGACAAUUCA